rnacentral:rRNA from 1 species
GAUGAACGCUGGCGGCGUGCCUAACACAUGCAAGUCGAACGGAGUUAUUAUUAUGAAGUUUUCGGAUGGAUUAAUAAUAACUUAGUGGCGGACGGGUGAGUAACGCGUGGGUAACCUGCCUCAUACAGGGGGAUAACAGUUGGAAACGGCUGCUAAAACCGCAUAACAUUGCGAUGUCGCAUGACAAUGCAAUUAAAUAUUUAUAGGUAUGAGAUGGGCCCGCGUCUGAUUAGCUAGUUGGUGGGGUAAUGGCCUACCAAGGCGACGAUCAGUAGCCGGCUUGAGAGAGUGACCGGCCACAUUGGGACUGAGACACGGCCCAAACUCCUACGGGAGGCAGCAGUGGGGAAUAUUGCACAAUGGGGGAAACCCUGAUGCAGCGACGCCGCGUGAGUGAAGAAGUAUUUCGGUAUGUAAAGCUCUAUCAGCAGGGAAGAAAAUGACGGUACCUGACUAAGAAGCCCCGGCUAACUACGUGCCAGCAGCCGCCGCGG